GUGGUCCUAGUGCAUCCUGCAUACAGCCAUGGGGGAAAGGGAGAGGAGACAAGAAAACAGCUAAGAUAAACACACGUGACACGGCAAGAAAGGAAAGCGCUGUUUCAGAAGAUGAAGGGAAAGUUCAGGCUGGCAAAAAAAAAGUAGAAAGCUGGAUGAAGCUGAGUGUGUGCAGACACAUGGACACAGGACCCAGUGAUGGAGACAGCCUCAGUCCUGUUCACAUGUGAAUGUCUGGCCAAUCCAAGGCUCUGCUGAUACCUGACUCUUGAUAUCAACCUAGAGGCAAUGAGGAGUAGGGGGUAGGUCCUGAGGAGGCCACACAUCAUCAUUCAAGGCAUCCACCUCAGAAGAAGAUAGAAACAAUGAAAAAAAUGGCAAUGAAGCCAACCUGGGAGGAGCUUUAUUGAUGUGAUCACACCACUACCUCUCAAGGUACCACCCGUGAAGCUACAAAAGUUGUAAAACAUCUGCCCUAUACAAUGACAAUGGAGCAGGUGGUCCUACAGUGAAACACAGCAACAUUCUCAGAAAUGGGCAGAAAUGGGCCAAAUGUGUAAUACGACUGAUGUCUGUUUUUGAAAUAACUUGGCCCACCUGUGAGGAUCCCAUGUGUGAGUGCCCCAUGGCAGAGGAUCUAAUUUGGUACAUAGCGAAAUUAACUUUUGUUCAAACCACCAAGAGCACCUGUGAAGCUCAUUCCACACCUACGAAAGCCCCCUGAUGCUUCUCACUACUGGCAAUCUGUGGGAAGCUCAAUCACUACUGCACAAUAAUCUGAGCUAGAAAGAACAUACAACUGCUCACCAAACCAAACCUGCAUAGGGCCUUAGCCACAGUGAUUUAUACCUAAACAGACCUACUCGCAUGCUGGGCUUGGUUCUGACAACUUGAUUUUGGUGCAUAUAAGCAUAAUAGCUCUCCCCUUGCCAAAGUCUCCUGUAAACCUCACUCAUCAACCUGCCCCUACUCCCCUCAACAACAUUCAACAGCAGCACUGACAUCCAAUGAAUCUGUGUGAGACUAGUCACAGAAAUGUGUAGGCAGUGGUAGGCUAAGCACCAAACCCACUUCGUUGACCCAGGUGCUGAGUGUGAAGUUAACACCCAUGCCCAUUAGACUACAACACCACUUGGAAUUGCACUAAGCCACACAAACUUACCUUUCUCAGGAACACAGAGCAUACAGGGAGCAGAGGGAGCCUGGUGGACCUGAAAGAAAAUCAGGUGGCCUCCCUGUCACAAGCUUUCCUCCAACCCUGCAAAGUACCUUCUUCACUUGGAUAUGGCUCAAAAUCCCAGCAGAUUUUUACUCAGCAGGGGAAUCCCCCAAGUAUUUGCGUCCACAUGCUAGCUGAACCUCUCCAGUGCCAAAAACAAGUUCUCCCAGCAGUCUCCCUGGUGCUAACCACUCUAGAAUCACCAAUCUGAGGACAGUAGGCAUACAGGUUUACAACAAUUAAAAGAAAACGGCUGUGUCCAAGGAAUUAUCCACAGAAACUAAAUGGCCCAGGGACUGGAACUCUUGGCUGAACGUCAGUGUACUUUAGGACCAUGGUGUUAGAUAACUGCAAAGCCUUAGAUUUCUUACGAGCUGUUAAAGGAGGGAGGUCUGUACACUUGCUCACAUAUCUUGCUGCUUGUGGGUUGGUAAUUCUCAUCAAGCUUUAACAGAGAGCCAGGGACAUGUAUCAACGGGGCCAUAACAUCACUUUACUGACGAAACAGAUCGAACAAGUAAAAAUCUCCUUUUCUGACCUAUUUUCCUGACCUUCCCCCAGCUAGCUGUAAGUGGGCUUUGAAAUCCUGCUUUGCGCCUUGUAGGAUAUGGAGUCUUUAGAAUGCUUAAUUACUGGCUCCAGACUCAGACAAUACAAAGUAACACACAAUUUCCAUUAUAAAACAAACAUGGAGCCAGCAGAUGGACUGUUACGUAAAUGAGCCAAAGAUGCCCCAUAUAUUGGCCCCUAUGCUGUUUAUUUCUUCACAGCAGGCUGAGACUUCUAGUUCAAAGCAUACUGGUACCAAAUUCAAUUUUUUACAUAUUUUUACAUAUGUGCUUUAAAUACAGUCUAAAGAAGCCCAUUUAAAACCCAGCUGCUUUGCAUACCCUGUGAAACUGCACCCAACAUCUGCUAGCCACAGGUAAGGCAAACAUUGGGGCCGUGAAAGACCCUACACUGCUGCUGCCUUUCAGAACAUAUGAACGUGCCCAAAUUCAUAUGUUGUCAUCCUAACCCCCAAUACCUCAGAAUGUGAUUUUAUUUGGAGAUAGGGUCUUUAAAGAGCUAAAAUAAAAUGAGAUCGUUAGGGUGAGCCCUAAUCCGAUGUAACUGUGUCCUUACAAGAAGAGAUCAGGAGACAAACAUGCACAUGGACAACGCUGUGAGGAUGCAGGGAGAAGGCAGCCACCUACAAGCCAAGGUGAGACCUCCAGAGAAACCUGCCCUAACCCCUUGACCCUAGAUUUCUAGCCUCCAGAACUGAGAGAGUCAAUUUGUAUAUAAGUCAUUUAGUUUGUGGUACCUUGCUACGGCAGCCUGAGCAAACCAAUGCACUUUCCAUCUUGUUGCUGAGCAACACUGCCUAGACACCUAAGCCCCCUAUCCGAAACACCCCCCUCUCCUAGGAGUUCCUAUGCCCUGUUCCCCUUCUGGGCGGUAGUCCUGUGCCACUACCUCUGGAAGGUCUCCUGUAAAGGGCUUUGCCCCUCAUGCAACCCAUCAAACACCAUCCAAAUAAAGCUGUGUACUUCU